UUUUUAUGAAUGGAGGGCGGCGGCGACUGCUGCAGCUGGCUCAGCUGCGCGGGCUGUACCCCCUCCCAGCCUGCGAGAGGAGAGCUUCCUUAGGGCUACCUGAGAACACAGCUGGAUUCUGAAAUCCUAUUCCCCACCGCCUGGGAUUUCCCCUGUGGUUCCAGAGAAAGGCAGAAACAUGGGUUCUGUGAACCCCUAUCCUGCGAGAUCAUGAGGAAACAGUCCAGCGACCUCUUUCUUCUAUUUUGAGGAAGCUAGUGGAGAACCUGCACCAACAAAACCAAGGAACAAAUCAAGAGAGUAGACAACAUGGGAAUAACGGCAUGGAGCUCAAAUUCCAUUUCUCAGCUUCCAGAACAACACAGAGAUACAAAGGGAAGUCAGAAAACUUUGAACGCCAAUGCCGCUCCCUUCGUCCACCUCCACCGCCAAGUAGCACCUUUGGGAAUUUUUCCCUCUGAAAUGAGCUUUGUCAUCUCUUAUAUCCAUUGGAGCUGGCAGCUCUCAAAUCUACCUUCUGUACCCCAGAAAUUCCAUGGGAUACUCCCUGACUGAAGGGGAGGCAGCUGACCAGAUGAGGUGACUGUGAGGCCUACAGCCGGGAAAGGACUUGCCCUGGUUAUACAACCAGACCAGAAAGACUCAGGUGUGUCUUAUCCUGGAUGCCAACCUCCAAGGUUCAAUAGCUGCUCCAGUGACAUCUGUGUUAAUGAGGGGGGAAAGAAAAAGGACCCUCUAACAGAUGGAGAGAGAGGCUCUCUGAUUAGUGAAAGUCUGAUUUUGGACGUAUUGAGUUCAAGGAGAUGUAAUGGAUCUGUCCUGUAGACGUUAGAGUCUGAAACUCUGGAUAGAAGUCUGGACUAGAGAAAUGUGGGCUUCUUCAACAUAUAGAACCUCUGGGUACCGCUGUGGGGGAGCAUGUAACAUGUGAAAAGAGAGCCUAGGACAGAGCCUCAGAAACCCAGUGUACGAGGAGGAGGGGCCCACAGAGGAAACUGGGAAGGAGCUGCCUCAAAUGGAAGAAGCCAGGAGAAUUUGGUGUCCCUAAAGCCAAGGAAAGAGAGCUUUAAGAAGAAGGGAAAGAUAAGACUUGCAAAGUUGACAUUUGUGAGGAGUCCAGGACAGUCGUUUUGCAGAUUACGAGGCUUAUUUGUUCAAUAGUUAGCAGUCAACACCUCCCGUGUGCCGGGCACGGUGCUGGUGAGAGGAGAACGUCGUCAUCA